rnacentral:rRNA from 1 species
GCCGCAGAUAAUCUGUGCUAAGGUAGCAUAACAAUUUGCCUUUUAAUUUAAGGAUAGAAUGAAAGGAAAAACGAUCUCUAUAAUUUCUAUAUUAUAUUUUAUAAAAUUUACAUAAUCAUAAAAAGGUGAUUAUAAAAUAGGAAGACGACAAGACCCUGAUGAACUUAACUACAAGUUAUACUGGGGCGGUAAUAAAUAACAACUUUACUAUAAAUUAUAAUAAAGAACCUAUUAAAUAGAUUAAUAAAACAAGUUACCACAGGGAUAACAGCGUAAUAAUUAAUAAGAAUUUUAUUUAAUUAAUAGAUUACGACCUCGAUGUUGAAUUAAUAAUUCUAUUUUACACAAAAGUAUAAAAAGUAGGUCUGUUCGACCUUUAAUAUAUUACAUGAUUUGAGUUCAGACCGGUGCAAGCCAGGUCAGUUUCUAUCUCCUCAUAAAAAUAUAUUAGUACGAAAGGCCUUAUAUUUUAAU